ensembl:lncRNA
GCUCUCACACAUACAAGUUGUCGCAUUUGACAAGAUUCUGAUGGUCUCCGCUGACGCCAGCAGUGUGAAGUAAAUCUGCGUCUUGUGAGCCAUAGACAUCUUAUUUAAAGGCUAGACGUCUCAAGGCGCACUCACUUCCGGCAUCACCGGUGGCCAUCUUGUCACAGGCAGGCUUCCUGUCGGGCUCUGUGGUACCUAAUAUAAGGUUCAGCCAGGACCACUUGGAGCUUCUCUUCAACUCCAUCAGAGUAUCUGCCAGUUCAAGUACAUCUUUAGGAUGUAAAGCUGAUGGCCCAGUGUGGGGUUGUUAAACCAUGCAGAAAGCAAUGUGACGGCACAGGAUGACACAGAGUCCCUACCAGCUGUCAUCGACACCUCUACAAGCCUGUCAGCUGUAGAUGUGUCCUCUGCAGCAGGAGGAGAAGAUCUUCCAUCCCCGUUUGCUGACAUUCCUGCCCUAGUACAUGAUCACAGCUACCUUCCCGUCCACUUCGAUGGUCUUGUGGACAACGCUCUCAUGUACAUUUCAG